rnacentral:rRNA from 1 species
UACGUAGGGGGCAAGCGUUAUCCGGAUUUACUGGGUGUAAAGGGAGCGUAGACGGUGAUGCAAGUCAGAAGUGAAAGCCCGGGGCUCAACUCCGGGACUGCUUUUGAAACUGUACAGCUUGAUUGCAGGAGAGGCAAGUGGAAUUCCUAGUGUAGCGGUGAAAUGCGUAGAUAUCAGGAGGAACACCGGCGGCGAAGGCGGCCUGCUGGACCGUGACUGACGUUGAGGCUCGAAAGCGUGGGGAGCAAAAAGG